UUAAUUGAAGCCAAAAAGAGGCUUAUCACUGUUAAUGAUAAAAUUGAAACUUUUAAUUUCCAAUUAAA
rnacentral:tRNA from 1 species